rnacentral:misc_RNA from 1 species
UCCGGUUUGUCACCGGCAGUCUCCCUAGAGUUCCCAUCCGAAAUGCUGGCAACUAGGGACAAGGGUUGCGCUCGUUGCGGGACUUAACCCAACAUCUCACGACACGAGCUGACGACAGCCAUGCAGCACCUGUAUCCCGGUUCCCGAAGGCACCAAUCCAUCUCUGGAAAGUUCCGAGUAUGUCAAGGGCAGGUAAGGUUCUUCGCGUUGCAUCGAAUUAAACCACAUGCUCCACCGCUUGUGCGGGUCCCCGUCAAUUCCUUUGAGUUUUACCGUUGCCGGCGUACUCCCCAGGCGGAGAACUUAACGCGUUAGCUGCGACACCGAGAGGCAACCCUCCCAACAUCUAGUUCUCAUCGUUUACAGCGUGGACUAC